ensembl:lncRNA
UGUAAAUGUCAAUUCUUUAUUUUGGUUCUCACUACACCAGUCCAUAACACACUGUAGAAUGUUGGUGUAUUUUAGUGUCUCUCUAUUGUUCACAUUUCUAGUCUAGGAACAGGCCAGGGCCUCUCAUACUGAUACAAGGUGUUAUCCUUAACAUUCUGCCAUUGUUAUGUCUCAACAAGGUUGAACUGACCUGGUCCUCCGGGACAUAGCCAGGGCCAAAUACCUUAUCAAGGCUGAGAGUGCGUCUGUUCACGUGUUAUUCAUGUAUCCCCUUUUUGUAUAAUACUCGCCCCAACCCUUUGGUUCGAGGAGUAGAGGGUUUCGACAGCCAAGGAACAAGUCAUCGACCACCGGGUCCACUAUAGAUUAUUCAACCUAAGUCUGUAUCUCGCUGUACAUCCUGGAAUAAACCAUCUAUUCAACCCUCUAAUCCAACCUGUCAAGCUGCUUUGAUUUCGACUUCAAGAAUUACUACUACGACUGAAAAUACACAACGCAGAGUCUGUCCGAACAGUUUAGAAAUAAGCUGAAAUCUAACAGAGCAGAUCGGACAAGCGCUGUUUCAACCCUCUG